rnacentral:rRNA from 1 species
UACGUAGGGUGCGAGCGUUGUCCGGAAUUACUGGGCGUAAAGAGCUCGUAGGUGGUUUGUCGCGUUGUCCGUGAAAUUCCCGGGCUUAACCUGGGGGCUGCAUUUGAUACGUGUUGUCUUGAGUUCGGAAGAGGGUCGUGGAAUUCCCAGUGUAGAGGUGAAAUUCGUAGAUAUUGGGAAGAACACCGGUGGCGAAGGCGGCGACCUGGUCCGACACUGACGCUGAGGCGCGAAAGCGUGGGGAGCAAACAGG